UUACUCUACGAGUAACGGGUAUAAUGAAUGCAAAAAUUGAAAAAUUAAACGAACACAGAGUCCAACCAAUCUCAGUCAGUGUAGAUGAUAUAGUAUUUAGAAAAGAAACACAAGAAACAGAAGAAACGAGCUCACUCCUCGCUUUUCCCAACAUCAAGUACUAAAAGACAACAAGAUCACACUAAUUUCUACUAGAAAACAAAAGUUACACAAAGCUAAAAUAAAAAACAGGAUUAAACAAACCCAACUCCAAUUGAUCUUACAGAUUCGCGUUCAUCGCAGCCCAGGACUUAAAGGUCCAACAUUUAGGAAACAACACCCCUUGUUAAAAAUAAAUCUGGGACAGCCCAAAAUAAUACAAUCGCAUAAAUACCUUACACAUAGAAUUACCCUACAGGAUUUUAUUGACGGUGUGAUUAACUUUGAGAGAGCAAUUAACCAGCUAAAAAAGAGCUCAGAUUCAAACGACGCAAUCGAAAGUCUAUCAGCGAAACUUCAGCAACUAAAAGUCAGAGUAGAAAUGCUAUUACCUAAAAAGAGACAAAGACGUGGACUUAUUAAUGGACUAGGUAGCGUCGUAAAAAUAGUGAAAGGAAAUUUAGACGACGCGGACGGACGUAGAAUCAAUGACAACUUAAAAACGAUUACAGAAAAUCAAAAAUGAAAUAACAGCAAACGCAAAUAAAGAGGAGAGAAUUAACAACGACAUGAAAGCAAGAUUUGACCAUAUUACGGUUCAUAUUAACAAAGAACAACAAAUAAUUAACUACUUCUUGAACAAUUAUAAAAAUACUAUUUCCAAAACUGUUAAAAAAUAUGUUCAAAACCGUAAACUCUGAACAGCAUCUCCUACACACUUUACAAUAUAUAUCCCGAAUUAAUAUGAAUAUAGGCGUACUGUCAAACUAUUUAAGUAAUAUAGAGGAAAGCCUGCUAUUAGCCAAAUUAAACAUUGUACCAAAUUUCAUUGUAUCAGAAGAAGAAUUAACUGUAAUCAGACAAGAGUUAGAUGACCCCCAAUUACGCAACAUGUCCAACGAACACAUCCUCGAGAUGUUAGAAUUAGAUAGUUUUAUGAACUAAAUUAAGAUCAAUUUUAGAAUUAAAACAAAAUAUUCACCAAUUUACACAUAUUAUUAUUAUAUAUAUUAUUAUUAUUAUUCCGCUACCUAUAAAUGGUUCCAAAUUUUUAAUCUUACCCAACUAUAUGGCAUACUAUAAUGGGAAAGACAUGUAUUACUUCACGAACAAAUGUAGUAAGGUUUAUAAAUAUUUUAUCUGCAAAAACUCUAUAUCAACCAAAAAUAACAUUCAAACCGGUUGCCUCGAAUAUAUAUUCACACUGAAGACUGCAAAUUGUAAAGCCAAAGAUGUGGAAAUCCAAGAAGUAAUUACAAAAAUAGAACCAGCACACAUCCUAAUUUUAAACACAAUUAACUCUACCGUUGAAUCCAAUUGUACGACUAAUAUUUCCAUAAAGGGAUCUGCUCUAAUCACUUUCAAUAAUUGCGAAGUCUAUAUCAACCGAAUUCCUUAUGACAAAGAUUUAUUACAAUUUUAGGAAAAGAUAGAAGCUACAAUUCCGGUUAUUCAAAACAUUAACUUCACCGAUCAUAUUGAAGAUAUUAAAUUACACAACCUAAACUUACGAUCCAUCAAUGCUUCCAAUUUAAUCAUAUACUGGAAAAAGUUUACGACCACCAGUUUCGGAGCUGUGUAUCUAUUAUUAUUAGUUGGAGUCUUGGCAUCGAUCCUGUGGAUCAACACAAAAAAUAAGAUUGUAUUCGCUACCAUACCAAAACCGAGUUUCGUGACGUCCACUCCUUCGUUUUAGCCGUCACUUCAAUCCAAGAGGGGAGGAGUUACCGACCAGUCGGUAGGCAACGAACCUCCAGCCAAACCUCCCAGAGCUACCCUACGCCGACUGGGCGACCACUUGAACCCACACAUUUUGCUGCAAGAUGCCCUGACCCCUCGCCACAGGAAAUAUGACACAAGCGGACACUUCGAACGGAUUGCUGUAUAAACAUUUCUUUAUUUCAUCUUGUAUUAGUGUAUAAGCCCUUAUGUAUAGCAUAUAAGAUUUUUAUGUACACUUUUGGCAGCGGCGGCUUCUCGGCCACCGCUGAACAAUAUAUGAAGUCACUCUAGAAAUUCACUUCAAACAUA